UGGUGGAGCGAUUUGUCUGGUUAAUUCCGUUAACGAACGAGACCUUAACCUAUUAAAUAGUUGUGCUAAGCGUCCGCUAUGGGGGCGGCGUUGGGCUCCGGCGCGUGGGCUUCGGCUUGCGUGCCCCCCGGCCGUCGUGCCUGGACUGCUUGGUAAUUUUGCAACUUCUUAGAGGGACUAUCGGUGCUUUCAACCGAUGGAAGUUUGAGGCAAUAACA
rnacentral:rRNA from 1 species